rnacentral:ncRNA from 1 species
UUAAUUGGAUUGGAGCCUUGGUAUGGAAACCUACCAAGUGAUAACUUUCAAAUUCAGAGAAACCCUGGAAUUACAAAUGGGCAAUCCUGAGCCAAAUCCUGUUUUCUGAAAACAAACAAGGAUUCAGAAAGCGAUAAUAAAAAAGGAUAGGUGCAGAGACUCAAUGGAAGCUGUUCUAACAAACGGAGUUGGCUGCGAUGCGUUAGUAAAGGAAUCCUUCCAUCGAAACUCCAGAAAAGAUGAAGAAUAAACCUAUAUAUACGUAUACGUACUGAAAUACUAUCUCCAAACCAAAUGAUUAAUGACGACCCGAAUCUUUUUUUUUUUUUAUUUAUAUGUUUAUAUGAAAAAUGAAAGAAUUGUUGUGAAUCGAUUCCAAGUAAAAAAGUAAAAAAAAAUGGAAUAUUCAUUGAUCAAAUCAUUUACUCCAUCGUAAUCUGAUAGAUCUUUUGAAAAAUGGAUUAAUCGGACGAGAAUAAAGAUAGAGUCCCAUUCUACAUGUCAAUAUCGACAACAAUGAAAUUUAUAGUAAGAGGAAAAUCCGUCGACUUUAGAAAUCGUGAGGGUUCAAGUCCCUCUAUCCCCA